rnacentral:rRNA from 1 species
UACGGAGGAUGCGAGCGUUAUCCGGAUUUAUUGGGUUUAAAGGGUGCGCAGGCGGUCUGUUAAGUCAGCGGUCAAAGCCCGGGGCUCAACCCCGGCCCGCCGUUGAAACUGGCAGUCUCGAGUUGGAGAGAAGUAUGCGGAAUGCGCGGUGUAGCGGUGAAAUGCAUAGAUAUCGCGCAGAACUCCGAUAGCGAAGGCAGCUUACCAGACUGUUACUGACGCUGAAGCACGAGAGCGUGGGUAUCGAACAGG